rnacentral:rRNA from 1 species
AGAACGAACGCUGGCGGCAGGCUUAACACAUGCAAGUCGAGCGCCCCGCAAGGGGAGCGGCAGACGGGUGAGUAACGCGUGGGAACGUACCCCCCGGUUCGGAAUAACUCAGGGAAACUUGAGCUAAUACCGGAUACGGCUGGAAGGCGAAAGAUUUAUCGCCGGGGGAUCGGCCCGCGUCCGAUUAGCUAGUUGGUGUGGUAAUGGCGCACCAAGGCGACGAUCGGUAGCUGGUCUGAGAGGAUGAUCAGCCACAUUGGGACUGAGACACGGCCCAAACUCCUACGGGAGGCAGCAGUGGGGAAUAUUGGACAAUGGGCGAAAGCCUGAUCCAGCCAUGCCGCGUGAGUGAUGAAGGCCUUAGGGGUUGUAAAGCUCUUUCACCCACGACGAUAAUGACGGUAGUGGGAGAAGAAGCCCCGGCUAACUUCGCGCCAGCAGCCGC